rnacentral:rRNA from 1 species
GCUCCAGACUCCUACGGGAGGCAGCAGUGGGGAAUAUUGCGCAAUGGGGGGAACCCUGAUGCAGCAAUGCCGCGUGAAGGAUGAAGGUUUUCGGAUUGUAAACUUCUUUUGUACGGGACGAAGAAAGUGACGGUACCGUAAGAAUAAGCCGCGGCUAACUACGUGCCAGCAGCCGCGGUAAUACGUAGGUGGCAAGCGUUAUCCGGAUUUACUGGGUGUAAAGGGCGAGUAGGCGGGGAAGCAAGUCAGAUGUGAAAUUCCAGGGCUCAACCCUGGAACUGCAUUUGAAACUGUUUUUCUUGAGUGAUGGAGAGGCAGGCGGAAUUCCGUGUGUAGCGGUGAAAUGCGUAGAUAUACGGAGGAACACCAGUGGCGAAGGCGGCCUGCUGGACAUUAACUGACGCUGAGGCGCGAAAGCGUGGGGAGCAAACAGGAUUAGAUACCCCAGUA